AAUGAACGUUGGCGGCGUGGAUUAGGCAUGCAAGUCGUGCGGAAAGGCCCCGCAAGGGGUACUCGAGCGGCGAAAGGGAUAGUAACACGUAGGUCACCUACCUUCGGGACGGGAAUAGCUGGGGGAAACUCCAAUUAAUGCCCGAUAACGUCUCCGGACCAAAGGUGUAAUUCCGCCUGUAGACGGGCCUGCGUCCUAUCAGCUAGUUGGUGAGGUAACGGCCCACCAAGGCAACGACGGGUAGCGGGUGUGAGAGCACGACCCGCAUCACUGGGACUGAGACACUGCCCAGACACCUACGGGAGGCAG
rnacentral:rRNA from 1 species